ensembl:lncRNA
CCUAAUCACAAUUUAUUGUUUGAGAUGAUUGUCAACCAUUUCAUGUAGAGCUCCAAAGGGAGCAAGAGAUCCUCCAAGUCACAGGAGCAUGAACAAGAGAUCCUCUAAGCCACAUGAGCAUGAAGAAAGAUCCUCCAAGCCACAAGAACAUGAAAAAGAGAUCCUCCAAGCCACGUGACCAUGAACAAGAGAUCCUUCAAGCCAUGUGAAUGUGAACAAGAAAUCCUUUAAGACACAAAAAUGUGAACAAGAGAUUCUCCAAGCCACGUGAACUUGAACAAGAGAUCCUCCAAGCCACAUGAGCAUGAACAAGACAUCUUCCAAGCCACGUGAGCAUAAACAGGAGAUCCUCCAAACCACGUGAACGUGAACAAGAGAUCCUCUAAGCCACAGGAACUUUUGCAUUUGGAGCCGAUUUCAGUUUAGCUUUCUCAAAGUCGUUAGCCCACAGUGCAGGAUCAGCUAUGGCAGCUGAAGCUUAAAGAUGCAGUAGUAACUGAUGCUUGGAGAGCAUGCCUACAAGUCAGCCCAGAGCCCUUUCACUUGGUUUGGAAGUUCAGCAGGAGGUACGAGGCCACCAGCUAUUUUGUGCAUUUUUAAACCACUGUAACCACACAGAACCAUCCUUCAGCACAGACCAAAAGUGUUCCUGUAAGGCACUGACGUUCUUUCCUCCAUUUGCAGCUUACAUGAUUUACUUCCCUGUAGUGCACCACUCUUGAACAGUUGGAUCAAUAAAGGAAAUUCUAGAGUAUUUUGACUGCUCCGAUCAGAGACAGACAGCAGCACCUUAUUUCCUGUAUAGGAAUUAGACUGCAAAACUUUACCUGCAGAUAUGUUAUUCAUAUGGAGGUAAACAAGUGUUCGACCUUUUAAAGAAAAGCCAUAGGAGAAUAAACAGUAAAGGAAGCAACACAAUGCAUACCAACGAUUUACAAACUCAUUACCACAGGUUGUGCAACUGCUUUGCAAUAGCUCUCAAACAACAGAAGCUCACCUGAAA